rnacentral:rRNA from 1 species
UACGAAGGGGGCUAGCGUUGCUCGGAAUCACUGGGCGUAAAGCGCACGUAGGCGGCUUUUUAAGUCAGGGGUGAAAUCCUAGAGCUCAACUCCAGAACUGCCUUUGAUACUGGGAAGCUUGAGUCCGGAAGAGGUGAGUGGAACUCCGAGUGUAGAGGUGAAAUUCGUAGAUAUUCGGAAGAACACCAGUGGCGAAGGCGGCUCACUGGUCCGGUACUGACGCUGAGGUGCGAAAGCGUGGGGAGCAAACAGG